rnacentral:rRNA from 1 species
UACGUAGGGGGCGAGCGUUGUCCGGAAUCAUUGGGCGUAAAGAGCUCGUAGGCGGCUUGGCAAGUCGGAUGUGAAAACUCCAGGCUCAACCUGGAGCCGCCAUUCGAUACUGCUAUGGCUAGAGUCCGGUAGGGGAGUGUGGAAUUCCCGGUGUAGCGGUGAAAUGCGCAGAUAUCGGGAGGAACACCGAUGGCGAAGGACAGCACUCUGGGCCGGCACUGACGGCUGAGGAGCGAAAGCGUGGGGAGCGAACAGG